UAGGGAAUAUUGCACAAUGGAGGAAACUCUGAUGCAGCGACGCCGCGUGAGUGACGAAGGCCUUCGGGUUGUAAAGCUCUGUUCUCAGGGAAAAAGAAAGUGAUUGUACCUGAGGAGAAAGGACCGGCUAACUUCGUGCCAGCAGCCGCGGUAAGACGAGGGGUCCAAGCGUUGUUCGGAAUCAUUGGGCGUAAAGCGGGUGUAGGUGGCCUUAUAAGUCAGGAGUGAAAGCCCCGAGCUUAACUUGGGAAGUGCUUUUGAUACUGUAAGGCUUGAAUGUGGGAGAGGAUCGUGGAAUUCCAGGUGUAGUGGUGAAAUACGUAGAUAUCUGGAGGAACACCGGUGGCGAAGGCGGCGGUCUGGCCCAACAUUGACACUGAGACCCGAAAGCGUGGGGAUCAAACAGG
rnacentral:rRNA from 1 species